rnacentral:rRNA from 1 species
GAAUAUUGGACAAUGGGCGCAAGCCUGAUCCAGCCAUGCCGCGUGUGUGAAGAAGGCCUUCGGGUUGUAAAGCACUUUUGUACGGGAAGAAAAGCACUCGGUUAAUACCCGGGUGUCAUGACGGUACCGUAAGAAUAAGCACCGGCUAACUUCGUUCCAGCCGCCGCGGUAAUACGAGGGGUGCAAGCGUUACUCGGAAUUACUGGGCGUAAAGCGUGCGUAGGUGGUUUGUUAAGUCUGAUGUGAAAGCCCUGGGCUCAACCUGGGAAUUGCAUUGGAUACUGGCAGUCUAGAGUGCGGUAGAGGGUAGCGGAAUUCCCGGUGUAGCAGUGAAAUGCGUAGAUAUCGGGAGGAACAUCCGUGGCGAAGGCGGCUACCUGGACCAGCACUGACACUGAGGCACGAAAGCGUGGGGAGCAAACAGGA